CCGCGGGAUUAGAGUUUGAUCAUGGCUCAGAUUGAACGCUGGCGGCAGGCUUAACACAUGCAAGUCGAGCGGUAACAGAGAUAGCUUGCUAUUUGCUGACGAGCGGCGGACGGGUGAGUAAUGCGUAGGAAUCUGCCCAGUAGAGGGGGAUAGCCCGAGGAAACUCGGAUUAAUACCGCAUACGCCCUACGGGGGAAAGGCCGGGAUCUUCGGACCGGUCACUAUUGGAUGAGCCUGCGUUGGAUUAGCUAGUUGGUGGGGUAAAGGCCUACCAAGGCGACGAUCCAUAGCUGGUCUGAGAGGAUGAUCAGCCACACUGGGACUGAGACACGGCCCAGACUCCUACGGGAGGCUGCAGUGGGGAAUAUUGGACAAUGGGCGCAAGCCUGAUCCAGCCAUGCCGCGUGUGUGAGGAAGGCUCUAGGGUUGUAAAGCACUUUCAGUAGGGAGGAAGGCCAAAAAGUUAAUAGCUUUUUGGAUUGACGUUACCUACAGAAGCAGCACCGGCUAACUUCGUGCCAGCAGCCGCGGUAAUACGAGGGGUGCAAGCGUUAAUCGGAAUUACUGGGCGUAAAGCGUUCGUAGGCGGUUUGUUAAGCAAGAUGUGAAAGCCCAGGGCUCAACCUUGGAACUGCAUUUUGAACUGGCAAACUAGAGUACUGUAGAGGGGGGUAGAAUUUCA
rnacentral:rRNA from 1 species